UGAAUCUCCAAAUAUGUUAGCGCUCGAAAAAUCUUAAAUCUUGAGAUAGUGAAUUGCUGGAUUCCGUUCUCGCUGAGAUAUAGGAUCAAUCACACCGAUUGACCUUAACUCGUAAACAUCGUGCGCCAUCAUCGUCUUUCUUUAUUCUGUUUCUUCGUUUAUGUUCUGUUCCUGAUCUCGAGUGACUUGAUUCUCUUCGAUCUUCUGUGACAAUACUUGAUCAAAGACUUUUUCCCAUAGAAGAUCAACCUCCAGUUCACAAACGGAAGAAAGAAGUGAUGAUGAAGAACCAGUCAAUGAUCAAGUCCAAAUGUAUCAAUGGAAGCCCCACAGAACUGGUUUUACUCUAUUUGAAGGUGGUGGACCUGUUGAUUUGAGAACUGCAUUUUUAUUCUCUUUUUUUUUUACUAAUAUGGUUAAGUAAGUACAAGGUGCCAUGAAAGUCAAACGUUGAAUUAUGGGGACUCCUAAUAACACAUGCAUUUCCACCAAUUUCCCUGAAAAAAAUACAUUAGAUAUGUAAUUUUAUAAUAUGCAGCAUGUCGUAGAGUUUUGUUUAUUCUUU